AUAUAUAUAUAUAUAAAGUAUAGCCGUGCGGCUAUAUCCGGUUUUUAGAUUUUUUUUAAAAAAGAAAUAGUAUAGCCGUUCGGCUAUACUCUGCGCCUUUCGCCAA
rnacentral:miRNA from 1 species